rfam:Listeria bacteriophage P100, complete genome.
GCCGAGAUGGUGGAACUGGUAUACACGGUAGACUUAGAAUCUGCUGUCCCAAGGAUAUGUGGGUUCGAAUCCCACUCUCGGUA